AUGUCUGUACUGAUAACCGCAUCAGGUCUCCAAGGUUAACAACCUUUGGUCGUAUAGAAUAUACGGUGGGUAAGGGAAGUCGGCAAAUUUGGUCCGUACUUACGAUAUAAGGACUGGCUCAGAAGGUUAACCCAUGCACUUUUAAAACGGUGUGUGGGACCCUUUUAGAACUGGCACGGACUCGGGGAAUCCGACUGUUUAAUUAAAACAUAGCAAUAUGCAUAAUUCUAUGGCGUGUGUGCCAGUUCUAAAAGGGUCCCCCAAGCUUUAUACAUAGUCUGAAAUAGAUGUGAACAUAUUGUGUAUUCUGCCCAGUGCUCUGCAAGUUAUUCUGAGUGACAUACAGCAUUUUUAAGCGCGGGUAAACGGCGGGAGUAACUAUGACUCUCUUAAGGUAACCAAAUGCCUCGUCAUUUAAUUGGUGACGCGCAUGAAUGGAUCAACGAGAUUUCUACUGUCCCUACUCACUCUCUAGCGAAAUUACAGCCAAGCCAACGGUCUUGGGAUAUACUUAUGUGUUGAGAUACAUUGUGUCACACGCAUAUUUUAACAACAACAUUCAACAGCGGGGCAAGAAGACCCUUUUGAGCUUGACUCUAAUCUGUUAUUGUCAUCUGGUCGGCAUGGUGAAGAUUGUAAGAGGCAGUACACUUCGUGUGUACAAUCAUGAAACACCGCUAC
rnacentral:ncRNA from 1 species